UCGAGGAUCUUCGGCAAUUGGCGAAAGCCUGACCGAGCGAUGCCGCGUGCGCGAUGAAGGCCUUCGGGUUGUAAAGCGCUUUAGUGGGGGAGAAAAACCCGAAAGGGUCUGAUCUAUCCCAAAAAUAAGCUCGGGCUAAGUUCGUGCCAGCAGCCGCGGUAAGACGAACCGAGCGAACGUUGUUCGGAAUCACUGGGCUUAAAGGGCGCGUAGGCGGGCUGUCAAGUCUGGGGUGAAAUCCCACGGCUCAACCGUGGAACUGCCUUAGAUACUGACGGCCUCGAGUGAGGUAGGGGCGAGCGGAACUGGGAGUGGAGCGGUGAAAUGCGUUGAUAUUCACAGGAACUCCGGUGGCGAAGGCGGCUCGCUGGAUCUUUUCUGACGCUGAGGCGCGAAAGCUAGGGGAGCAAACG
rnacentral:rRNA from 1 species